rfam:Salmo salar isolate Sally breed double haploid chromosome ssa11, whole genome shotgun sequence.
GCCAGACAGGGAUGUAAGUCUCUCUGGAUAAGAGCGUCUGCUAAAUGACUAAAA